GACGAACGCUGGCGGCGUGCUUAACACAUGCAAGUCGAACGGAAAGGCCCUGCUUUUGUGGGGUGCUCGAGUGGCGAACGGGUGAGUAACACGUGAGUAACCUGCCCUUGACUUUGGGAUAACUUCAGGAAACUGGGGCUAAUACCGGAUAGGAGCUCCUGCUGCAUGGUGGGGGUUGGAAAGUUUCGGCGGUUGGGGAUGGACUCGCGGCUUAUCAGCUUGUUGGUGGGGUAGUGGCUUACCAAGGCUAUGACGGGUAGCCGGCCUGAGAGGGGGGCCGGCCACAUUGGGACUGAGGUACGGCCCAGACUCCUACGGGAGGCAGCAGUGGGGAAUAUUGCACAAUGGGCGGAAGCCUGAUGCAGCAACGCCGCGUGCGGGAUGACGGCCUUCGGGUUGUAAACCGCUUUCGCCUGUGACGAAGCGUGAGUGACGGUAAUGGGUAAAGAAGCACCGGCUAACUACGUG
rnacentral:rRNA from 1 species